GUAAAACAAGUAUUUUCGUUGGGAGCUAAAUAGCAUUUUGUAAUGUGAGUCUUUUAUUUUCCAAGGCUGCUCUUAUCUGUUUUACACAGCCAACGCGUGUAUUCCUUUAACAUCGAGGAAAAGCUCUGUUGCAGCAGUUUAGUGUCUUCGAACAGGACACGAUUCGCACUAAAUAAUGGGAGUUUAAACGAAAUGCAGCAGUUCCAGUCGCUGCCUCCACAUAUCCCUUGGAG